CGCUGAAGCUCCAGCUUGCUGGGGUGGAUGAGUGGCGAACGGGUGAGUAAUACGUGAGUAACCUGCCCUUGACUCUGGGAUAAGCCUGGGAAACCGGGUCUAAUACUGGAUACGACGUCCUACCGCAUGGUGGGGCGUGGAAAGGGUUUUACUGGUUUUGGAUGGGCUCACGGCCUAUCAGCUUGUUGGUGGGGUAAUGGCCUACCAAGGCGACGACGGGUAGCCGGCCUGAGAGGGUGACCGGCCACACUGGGACUGAGACACGGCCCAGACUCCUACGGGAGGCAGCAGUGGGGAAUAUUGCACAAUGGGCGCAAGCCUGAUGCAGCGACGCCGCGUGAGGGAUGACGGCCUUCGGGUUGUAAACCUCUUUCAGCAGGGAAGAAGCCACAAGUGACGGUACCUGCAGAAGAAGCGCCGGCUAACUACGUGCCAGCAGCCGCGGUAAUACGUAGGGCGCAAGCGUUGUCCGGAAUUAUUGGGCGUAAAGAGCUCGUAGGCGGUUUGUCGCGUCUGCUGUGAAAGCCCGGGGCUCAACCCCGGGUCUGCAGUGGGUACGGGCAGACUAGAGUGCAGUAGGGGAGACUGGAAUUCCUGGUGUAGCGGUGAAAUGCGCAGAUAUCAGGAGGAACACCGAUGGCGAAGGCAGGUCUCUGGGCUGUUACUGACGCUGAGGAGCGAAAGCAUGGGGAGCGAACAGGAUUAGAUACCCUGGUAGUCCAUGCCGUAAACGUUGGGCACUAGGUGUGGGGGACAUUCCACGUUCUCCGCGCCGUAGCUAACGCAUUAAGUGCCCCGCCUGGGGAGUAC
rnacentral:rRNA from 1 species